UAUAUAUAUAGAUCUAUAUAUAUGUUGUUGUUGUUUUUACAUUACAUUUUUUUAUCUCUGAUUUGUGCAGUAUUAUUAAAGAUUAUAAUUUGGAGCCAUAAUUUCAAAUUGUGUAAAAUUAAAAACUCUCAAGUCAUCUGUCGAUCAUGAUCAGAUGAAAUGUUGGGUUGGAUUAAGUGGUUCAUGUUCGUCUGUGACACAUUAGUUUCUAAUCAACCAUAGAAUAAUUAGUUACCAGUAGCACCAUUUAAAACCAACACAGUCCCGGUGCAUUACAUCCAUUACUCCCACUGUAACACUCCACUACAGAAGGUUGAGCUCAGCUGACUUUGUCGACUCAGUUUCGCAGCUGUGUGUGUGUUGCUGUCAGCCCCUCACAGAGCCACUCCUGUGGUUACAUAAUGACUGUUGCUCCUAUGGACACGGAGCCAGUGGAGGGUGAAGAAGGACUUAAUGAGGUCUAUUGGUGCGCACUGACAACUCCACACUGAACUUCACUGACUCUGAGGCUGGACACCAACAAAACCAGGGAAAUAAAAUGAACUCCUUAAAAAUGUUGUCUUCAUUUCAAAUGUUAAAUUCCAUUGAAAGUGGGUCAGAGUGUUUUAUGACAUAUUCAACAAAAUAUUGACUAAAUUUUACAAAAAUAUAACAAUAUUGAAAAAACAAAACAGCUUUUGCUUGUAAUGUAGUGAAAUUAACCCUUUGUCCUCCCUACAUCCAAUGUUAGCUCUAAAUCUGGGCUGCACCGAAGCUUUGAAGCUUUAAUGUUAAUGACUUGUGACUUGUGCAACCUUUUUUUAUUGCAUGUCUAUUCAUUCUGUUUAAAACUGGUAUUUCUGCUCAAUUGCAGAUAAAGAUUAGGCUACACUAAUUUUAGUAGUAUUGUACUAUUUGUAGAUUCCAGUGGUGGCUGUGUGGGAUUGUUUCUGACUCAUGUGAUCCAAACAUUUCCAUAACCUCCAGUGAGUGUUGUAAAAGUAUAAAAGUGUGAGAUGUAAUCAUUUCCAAAACUCACAGCACGUUUUAUCUAAAGAAAUAUAUAUUUGCUCUGCCACACAAACGAAGGCACGCCCCUGUAUUAAUGUAUCUAGCAGCAAUCUAACAGAACCAUAAAUCACAUUUAGGGCGCCACAGCAAUAAAAAAUCUAAUUCAGCUUUAACAAUAAUUGAGCGUAACGUUAGUUCAGGCAGGACACAAUGUCAAACUCAGCUCACAUCCCAGCUAAAUCAGCUGAUCUCAAACAGCCAAUCAACUGAUGGAGCAGCUGAUUGAUGGAAGUCAACUGAUAGAUCACAUGAUUCCUUUCUAUACAACCAAUUGGCAAAUCUCAUUAAGGGCGCCCUAUUUAAACUGCUCUGGUCUGCCUACUGUUGCUGCUUCCUCUGCAGCUGCUUUGCAACCUGCCUCCACCCCAGCUCCUCCUUUUCAUGCUGUGUCUGACUUAUCAAUGUCAUUUGUGUUUGUCACUGAUGCUGCUCUGUUCUGUUUCCGGGGGGUCUUUGCUGCUGCUCUCCCUGCUUUAGGCUUUCCAUGUAGGUGCAUGGAAGGGCAGGGAGGUUUGCUCUCUCUGCCUCAGGCUUUCUGCACAGGCCUAGGAAAGUCAGAGAGGCCCCAGAGCAGAGUCAUACUGCCAAAUAUAAUACUGCACAAGAAAAAACGUUUUCUUUGACUAAAGUUGUCCUGACUGAAUUAUAGUAAAUGACUGACGUUGUUACUAAAAAAAGAGAUAUUAUUUAUCUGCAUUCACUCUGUGCUCCAUCAUGUCAUCACUUUCAUACCAACAAGGACUGCAGAAAGAUAUCAGCAUUAAAAAGACAGCAUAUUAAUUUGGAAUUUUGGUCAAUGAUUUUUUUUUGUCUGUUUGUUUUAGGGCAAUGACAUAAAUAUGACAUCAGACAUUCAAAGCUUAAUCUAAAAACCUCAAUAGAAGCUUUGAAUGUAAAAAAAAAUAAAAUAAAAUUACAUUCAGUACAGCCCUGUCUCAAACAUGCAGUUUCUCCUCAUCAUAGACAUCUUAAAACAAUAAUUUCAUUGUGAUUACCAUGUAUGAACUCCACACUCAAAAUAACAGCAAAAGCCUGUCUUCAGUUGUAAUAACGGGGUGGUGUGGUAAUUAUGUACAAAGGCUGAAGCAGCGUGUUUCGAGCAGAGUAACCUGAGAUAAAUGGUUUUUGUUAGUUAGUGUUGCAUGUUGGAUUAUCAGCUGUCAAACUCCAGAAGAGCCUGAACCUCACUCAUUAACAUACAGCACUGAAUAAAUCUUUAUGACAUAACUAUUUUGUCUAAAGUCCAGAGGCCACUCACCCCUUAUGCACUGCUGCUGAUAGUUUACAGUGUUAAUGUCCCUUUUGUUUAGCCAGCCAAUAAUUUGACAGUUUGUUUACUUUUAAUGUCUUUAAUUUGACUUAAGAAACCCUGAUUCAGAGAGUGCCACAUGGAGGCCAAAGUGAGUACAAACAGCAGGUUACAGACCCCAGGCUGAUCAGACAGUCACUAAACUCAGUUAGCACAGCAGCAGUCAAUGCAGAAGGCUGCAGAAAACACAAAGUAAAACAAACUUAAACACCCCUACACAGACAAGGAAGGUAGUCCAGUCUAUUUGCACAUUUUCCAUAAAUUCAAAGAAACAUCAAAGUUAAUACAGGACUUAAAAACAGACUUUUGUGGACUGAAUAAGACAAAUUAAAAGAAUACAAAAUAGCCGGCCUAACAAAAUGACUAGUGAUCUAGUCUACUUACAGUAAAACUCAAUCGCAGAGAAUCCUCUAAGAUGUUACAUCGCCUUUCAAAACAGUGUUGACAAGUGUCCGCUGAACACAUUUUAAUAUCUGACAUCACACAAAACAAACCCAGUGGAUACCAACUGAUUAUCCAAGAAGACACAGCAAGCAAAGCCGCUCCAAACCUUUGGAUAGUCACACACGCAUAAAUUAAGAAAUAAAUACAACACUUUUUGUUAAUAUCCGGAGCACCAGCAGGCGCUCAAAGUUAGAAACUGGAUGCAAAGGACAAAAGAGUAAAAACGAGGCAGAAGACACCAAAAAA